rnacentral:rRNA from 1 species
GUGUCAGCAGCCGCGGUAAUACGGAGUGUGCGAGCGUUACUCGGAAUCACUGGGCAUAAAGCGCGCGUAGGCGGGCUUUCAAGUCGGUUGUGAAAUCCCCCAGCUCAACUGGGGAACUGCAUCCGAUACUGCUUGUCUUGAGGACGAGAGGGGAGAGUGGAACUUCUGGUGGAGCGGUGAAAUGCGUAGAUAUCAGAAGGAACACCGGUGGCGAAGGCGACUCUCUGGCUCGUAUCUGACGCUGAGGCGCGAAAGCUUGGGUAGCAAACGGGAUUAGAUACCCGCGUAGUCC